GGGUAUUCUGGGCCACACUGCUGAAGAGGACACCAGGUCUCCAGAAGACAGGCCUCGGGCCUCUCGGUGACCUGUGGCAGAGCCAGGAUUUCAACCCAGAACUGCCUGCUCACAGAGCCUCUGAAGUACUCUUUUUCUCAUUCGUGCACCAAACAUUUAUUAAGCACCUACUGUGUACAAACCAGCCUUUUGGAUACUGGCUUACAUCAUCAAAGACGCAAGCAAGCCUCCAUCCUUCUAUUAGACUCUAGGGUGACCAUAAUAGAUGACCACAAGUUUGGUGGCUUUCCAGAAAUUGAGUGUUCUCGCCGUUCUGGAGUCCGAGAGCUUGACAGCGAGGUGUCACCCCCAAUUUUGCAGUCACAUGCCACGGCACAAGGCUGGGUGGCACUGAUUACCCUUUGACCCACCUGUCACAGCAGCUCCAGAAGUAUUGUGUGAGGAGGAUGCAGCCCGCCCUUGGACCUUUGGCUCCUCGCUGGACGGAGGAGAGAGACACAGGAAGCAGAGAAGACCCAUGAGCACAGAGACAGAAGAGGAGGUGACGGGACCAUGGAGGCAGGGCUGAGAGGGAUGUGGCCACAAAUCAGAGAACGCUGGCGGCCGCGACGAGUUGAAAGAGACAAAGAACUGGUUCUUCCCCAGAGCCUCUGGACAGAGCACUGUGCCCUCUGCCAAGUGACCCCUGCGUUUCAGAGUCAGCCUCCAGAAUUGCGAAAGAACACAUUUGUUACAGGACACGAAUGCCAGUGACUGAAUCCCCUUCUCAGAACUUGCUCAGGAAAAGCUAACAUCCAGUGGCUUAGCGAUGUGACUUCCCCAGGAGUGGGAGAUGGAGCUCUCCAAGUGUUCUCUGCCAAGGGGCCCGGGCCACUGAGCGACGCCGUGUGUGGCAUGAAAAUCCGUCCUUGAUGGUCUGUUUCAUUUCCUGACAGCAAAUUAUCCUAGAUGAACCUCCUUUCUCACUCUGACAUUAUAACGACACAAUGAUUGUGAUGGUGAUAAACACAGCGCAUACAUUUUUCCCUGUGUUGCUUUGAUGCCAUUGCACUGAAGGAAUUUUUGCAAAUUUCAGCAGAGGGUUUUCCAGAAGGCGUGGCCUCUGAGGGUCCCGGCAUAAGACAGCACUUUUCUUCCCAGGGGUCGGUCGUACACGGAGUCUGCUGCCCGAGGCUGGUGCCAAGGAUACUGCUAUAUAUCCAAAGACAGACUGAUUGGGUGUCUUUCUAUGGGGACACUCAGUCAGCCUCUUACUGGCUGUGAAGACCCAUCCUUUUCUACAGUGAACUAAUUACAGACUGUUGAAAAGAGCUUCAAGAAGGGGCGCCUGGGUGGGUCAGUUGGUUAAGCGUCUGCCUUCGGUUCAGGUCAUGACCCCAG